GUGUUCACUUAGGCAAACUCUUUGGUGUGAGAUGCUUAUACAGAUUGUUGCAGUCGAGUGUGUGAGUUUUGUCCACAUCCAAGAUGGGAGUCAACUGAGUGUUGUGCACUUAGGCACUGGGAGUUUGAGUUUGCAUGCCUACACCAGUAACUAGGAGUGUUUAGUAUGUUUCAGUGUUCAAAUCUAGAUACAUUGAGCAUGUGUUCGCCUUGAGAGAUGUGAAUAGGUUCAAGCUAAUGAUUGUUUUGCAUGAAACGUUUGGUGAUGACUCAUUACUAGAUGAGUGUCUAAGGAAGAAAAUUAUUUUAAAACUUGGUUUCUUUGCGUUGUGUUUGUUUUCUCAAAGAGUUUCUGGCAUCUCAAGGAUCUGUUAUUUGUCAUGUAGCACAGUGUGUCUGUAUUGUUUCUUUUCCUUUUACUUGUUAUUUUAGUUGUUUUAGAUGUUGUUUGUGCUUUUUGCGUGACCUUUGUGAAUGAGAAAGAGAUGUGGGGCCUUUUUCAAAAAACUUAACCUCAAACAUUAAGGAGUGAAUUUGAGAAUAUAGAAAUUAUAUCUAAGCUAGGCUGAGGUUAACUCUACCUCUUACAAGUUUUAAUAAUACUCUUUUUGGUCUCCACUAAUAAAUUUAUUCAACUAAGAAAGGAUGACUUUUAAUUAAUAGUUUUGGGAUGACAUGGAAAAUUUUAUAACUAAAAUAUAUUGAUCUUCCUCCCUUUCUCUAAUUUGUUUGUAACGCCCCUACAUCUGAUCAUCUCUAACACUCUUAUUGCCUCCUCUUAAAAAGAUAAGGAGAUGGAACAUUAGGGUGUGCAAGAAGUAUAUGCCAAUAUUAAAGUAUUGAUUAUAUUUCACUAUUAAUUGUUAUUAGAUUCAACAUAACAGUGAUUAUUGAAGAUGUGAUGGAAGAAUAAUGUGAGUUGGAGAAAGAUGGCAGCACCGAAUACAAACAAGCUGGAUAUCAUAAGCAUUUCAUGAGAAAGAGACUACAGUUUGUGGGGUGGAAGACGAAGAAACAAAAACAUUUUCUUUAGAAUAUGUGAAAGGUAUAGUUUUGUAGUACAAGUUUUAAUUGGAAGGUAAAAUAUAGGUUUCAAAAUUAAUGGUUAGGGUAAAAUUAAUGUAAAUAAUGAAGAGGAAAUUAAGGGUCCAAAUAUUAGGCUCCUAAAGUUUGGUGAAGAUUACUAGCUAGGGGUGAUUUCAAGUAUUAAUUAAUUGAUGUGGAGAACUAAAACUCCACCAACUUAAUAAAUAAAUAACAAUCACAAUAACAAUAAUAAUAACCUAUGGGUUUUAAUAUUUGAUGUGAAGUCUCCUCAAUAAUAAUCUCUUCAUUUGAUUCGGCGGCGGAUGUCACUAAAUAAGCUUCCCAUUUUUGCUUAAUUAAUCAAUUAUUUUCUUUUUUUAAUUUUCAUUUGUUUAUAAACCAACAUCCUAUAUACAUAUAUUUUAAUCUAUACAGCUUUGCUUCAAUUCUUUCUAAUUUCAUCCUAUUGUAAAAUAAACUCAAACUAUUUUACAAUGUAAUGAUAAACUUUAAAUUCAAUUUUUAUAAAGUCUAUAAGUUAUAUAACAUACACUAAUAAUUUACCAAUAUUUGAAGAUCAUGUCAUUAAUUAAUAAUAGAAGUUUACCAAUAAUAAAAUCUAUCACUAAUAGGUUUUAUCUAUUUUUAAAAACAUUUAUGUCUAAUAUAUUUAUAUAUAUUUAAAUUUAGAGACUAAACAUAUAUAUCUUAUAAAGUUCAUGACUAAAAGUAUACUUUUUCUAAAAUUUAAAAUUCGGUCCAUUUGUUUUUUUUGUACGCAGAUUCAAAUUAUACGAAUUAAAUGAGAGUUAAACAAACUUCAAAAUAUAAGGACCAAAAUGAUAUUAUAACACGAAGUUAUAAUUUUUUUUAUUAACUUAAUUUUUCCCUCUUAAUAAUGCACACACAUAAGGUUAAAAUAUAAAUGAUUUUUAAAAAAAAUAAAAUAUGCAAAAAUAUUUACAUCGUAUAGAACGAUUUUAAAAAAGAAAAAAAUCUCACAAACUCACAACGUAAAAUAACAAAAGUAUCUCUUGAUUGAUCGGCCACACACGCACAAAAAACGAUCUUUUAUUCUUGAAUUCAGUCUGAACGAUCUUGUACCACAUCUAAACGAUCUUGAUACAAUACUUGAUGAUAAAAAAGAAAAAGAAAAAAAGUAUUAUCUUUAUAAGAAAAAUAACGUCAAAGAUGAGAGAUAACGAAAGAAAAAAUAAUGACAAAAGAGAAGACGAGAAAAUUCAAAUUUGUAAAAAUAUAAACUCAAACUCAUAUAGAUAUAUGGUAAAUAUUUUGAGUUUGGUUAUAUAUACGUAAGUUAACCCAAUAUAAAAAGUAUAAAAUUGUGUUAUGGGGGAUGAAAAUUUGUAGUUAGGUUGACCCGUGACAUAAUUUUCCUACAAAUUUAAAAUUGGUAAAUUAGACGUGAAGAAGAAUAUCUGAUUAUUCUUUCGAAAUUCCAUGAAUUUGACGUAACUUUUGACUUUUCUUCUCUUCUAUAACUUAACUUCUCAUCAAAUAUUUAUGGAAUGUGCAAUUUACGGAAGAAUCAUGCAAUUUAAUUAACACUUUUUUUGGGUUUCUCUGUUUUUUUUUUUUUUUUUUGUGGACUAUUUUCAAAAUAUUAUUAUUUAUAUAUUUACGAAAACAAAAUCAAAAAUGGAAAUUGUUUUAGUGAAAUUAUUUUAAAUAAUUAACUCUAAAAUUUAACUAUAUUUUACAAAUAUUUUGAUAUAUUUAAAAACAACCCGUUAAUUUAAACAACAAAACAUUUACAUUAUUUACAAAUAUAUCAAAUUUUUAUAUUAGUGAUAAACCUAAAUAGACAUCUAUAAACAUUUAUCACUUUUAAGGUAUAGAAGUCUAUCAAAAUUGAUAUGUUUUGUAUUUGUAAAUAAGUUAACUCUUUUUACUAUAUCCCAACUAAAAACAUUAAACACUAUAACAGCAAAAAAAAAAGAGUACGAAUUAGGUUUGAAAAAUGAUUUAAGGAACUAAAAACAUAUAUGCAUAGUGAUUGGCAUGAAUUCGUAUUAGAAUUGAUAAUUUUUCUAAAAACACAGCCUAAACAACAAUGGUUUUGAAGGAAGAGCACAAGUCACAUCACUCCCAAACUAACUAAAAUAACAAUCUAUAGAUAUAUAAAUACGAUGCAUAUAUAUUAUAUAUUAAAAUAAGUUAUUCAUAUUCACUAAAAAGUGGGAGUGAUGAAGAUUUAAUGAAGGCGAUGAAAUAAGAAUACAGUCCACAUUUUGAUCCAUCUUAUUCACAGUUUUUGAUGAAGCUGUAACAUUAAACCCUAGCCUACGUGGCAAUGAGUGCUUAAGAUUAAAAUAAAAUAAAUAAAAAUGGAUGAAUAUUUAUUUUCAUAUAUAAAUAUAUAUAUAUAUAUAUAUAUAUAUAUAUAUAUAUAUAUAUAUAUAUAUAUAUUUCUGAUAGAGUUUACUUGUAGAAAACAAUUUCCUAUGUCUGCAAGCUACCCACCGAAUCUUUUGAAGGGGUAUUAUCUGAAUAGAGGAAAAAUAAAAAGAAAAUAUAUAAAUGAUUAACUUUGAAAAUGACACAUAAAAUCAUAUAUGUGAAAAUGAGGGGUCAAGUGAUUUUCCAAAUUGGUUUUACUUUUACGUGAUUUUCAUUCAUAUAUUUAUUUUUGGGGCAAAAAACUAAUAUCCCAUCCAUUUUAAUUUUCCCAUAAUGAACUUGCCUAAUAUUAAUAUUCUAUCCACUUUUAUCUCUAAAAUCUUUUUCAUCUGCACUUCAAACUUAAAACACAAUAUCUAUAUGUAUUGCAAUGUUAACAUUUUAUUAACUUAUUGCUCUAAAUAUCCUUAAAAAAAUGUAUAAGAUAUGUAUCACAUGGAAUGGAUUGAUAGAAGAUUUUGAAAAAAAUAUUAUUACUUGGUUAACUUGUGCUUUAGAUGAAAUUAUUUAUUUUUGAUAACUUUAUUUUUAUGAAAUUGAUAUGUUCAUGUUAAGGUUUUUACUUUAAUUUUGGUAGGAAAAAAAAAAAGAAUAGUAAAAAAAUGAGCAAAACGGAACAUAGGGGUAAAGAUUGCAACAUUAUUUAGUUGAAUUUGGGGUAGGUCCAAUAUGAUGAAAUGGUAUGUUUAUGGUCUAAAAUCAUACAGCGACCCUACAAAUUUAGGAUCUAAAAUAUUGAAUCUUUUUCCUUUAUAUAAUUAUAUAGUUGAAUGUCAUACGUUAGCUUUUGUUUGAAAACAAUGUUAUUCCAAUAUGAUGAAAUCUUGUGGUUGAAGCCAAUCCUUAAAAAGGAUGAGUUUUUAAGAUAAAAACAGCAUUAAUUCUCAUCAUUAACCGUACAAUUACCGUUAAUUCAUGAUGAAUUAUUUAAUGUUUUAGAAAUUUAAUUAGAGGUAAAAUAUAUAGGAUAAGGAUAGAUUUUUUCAAAUAUAAAAAAAAAAAAAGCCAAACUCCUAUAUAAAUAUAUUAAAAUGUAGUGAUAGCCAUUGAUAUUUUAAAAAUAUUUUCACCAAUUUUAUCAUUUUGAGUAUGAUUAGAUUAGAUUAGGAAACAACUUGAGUUUAGUUUGAAUAAAUUAAAUUAGUUAUAUAUUUUAUUUUAUAUAAAUAUAAAUAUAAAGAGGGUUUGUGUAGGUUUAUAAUAUAGUUCGGAAGUAAAGACAUAAAUCCAUUAUAAAUUAAUUUAAAUAAAAUGUUAUGAUUUCCUUAUUUAAGAGAAGAAUUGUUAGUAAAUAUUGAUAUAUAUUUUUUUAAAAAAAGACGUGUAUAAAAUUGAAAUUUGAAUAGAAGCGGACGUAGGAAGGAAAGAAAAUGAAAAAGGGAAAAAUGAAAAAGAUUUAAGAUUAAGAUAUGGAAGUGUUUUUCAAAAAGUGAAAAAAGAUAGGUUUUGGACAAAAGUGUUGUUUUAAAAUACAGAAAAAGUUGCUAAUUUCAUGGCAAAGUUUGUUGAAAUUUGUUUGGAAACAAAAUGCUCUUUUUGCUUUUUCGUUUUUUCUUUUUUUUUUUAGUGAAUUAGAAUAAUAAGUUGCACAUGAAUGCCAAUUACAAACUACUUUUAAUCAAUCUUCUUAGAUAUUCGUAUUUAUUUAUUAUGAUAUUCAACACAGGCAUGCACAUGCUUCCUCUCUUUCACCUCAACUAUCUUUCUACUCAUAUAUAUAUAUAUCCAUACCUAAGCUACGCUUUGUCACUCUUACUUAGCUACCCUCCCGGCCGCUUUACCUUUCCACCAAUCCUAAUUCUAAAUUUAUUUUCCUAUAUAGUCUACUAUCUAAUUUACUAUGACCCCCUUGGCCUCUUACAUUCAUUAUGAUUUCUUUUUCUUUUUUAACACAUUGGAGUUACUUGUUAAUUCCAUUCAUUAUUUCUUUACUAAACUAAAUCUUUUCCAUUAAAAUAAAUAAUUCCCUUGUGUUAAUCAACUCAUUUAUUUACUUCUCUAAUUAUUUAAAAUUGUUCAUCAUCACAAAAAUAUGUAAUUAUUUAAAAGCACCCUUGGUAUUUAAAUGUUCAUGAAACUAACAAACUUUAGUAGUUAUGUUUGUAUAUAUAAGUUAUGAUUUAUUACGGUUGUAAAUAAUAUUUAGAUGAAAGUUUUCAUCAACGUUCAAGUGUCAUUUUUAUAAUGUAAGGACUUCUUUGUAGUUUAUAAAUACAUAUAAUGAAUUUACCUAUCUACGUAUAAUAGUCUAAACACUUGAUAUUAUACUACAAAUCAAGUGUGGAUAUCUCAAGAAUUUCAACAAAAUUUAAUUUAAUACAAGAAAGCAAACAUAUCAAAUAUAUAUAUAUAUAUAUAUGGACCCGGUGAUGCAAGUAAGAAAUGAUUAUUUGAAAUUCAACCCUUUAUUUUAGUUAAAUUAAAUAAUUGGUAAUUGAUCUACCUACCUAAUAAAAGAGUUUAAAAAUAAUUUAGACUACUUCUAAAUAUUGCAUCAAACAUUUAUUGUUUUAUAACUUUUUUUUUUAAUGAAUUUUUUCAUUAAUCAACUACAUAAAGUUGUGUUAAGUAGGUGGAUAUUGGUAAAAUAUGAGAUAAUUAAUUGUCUCAUAUCAUAAAUGUAAAAAAAAAAUGAAGAAGAGAGGAAUAACUCACAUUUUAUAAAAGUUAAGACAAUAUGUUCGUUUUUUUUGGUGGGAGAUCCUAAUGUAUCCUUUCGAGAUAUAAUUUUGCUUUUUUAUAUUCACAAUAUUCUCGUAUUAGGUUGUUCCAAGUUUUUUUUUGGAUCAGUAGAUACUUGUUUGAGUUUUCGGAUACCUCAUUAAAUAGAUAGAAGGUGGGGCUUCUAACAUUUUAUUUAUCUACAUGUAAUACAUGAUAAUUAUGAGUAAAAAAAGGAAGAAGUUUUCAGUUAAUUAAAUGCAUUAGCUUCCUUCUGAGAUGAAGGAUACGUUUCUAACUAAAAAAAAGUGAUACGUUUGACAUGUAGUAAACUACAUAUAUUCUAAAAAGAAAUAUAUUUGUUAAAUGGAGUAACUUAAAUGUGCAAAUGAUCUUAGGAUAAUCAUUAAUCUAAAAGAUAUUUUAUGCAACAGUCUCUCCAACAAUAACAAUAAAUUAUUGUUUUGCGCCACGUAGAUGAAAUUAUUUGUUUCUUAAUAAAAUUAAGUUGUGGAGAAAAAAACGAGUUUAUUUUCAAAAAGAAGCAAUUAGUAUUAAAAAAAAAAAUGUUGGUUUUAUUUAAAAAUAGAAAAGAAAAAUCAAAACGAUUCACUCGAUUGUAUUAUUAUUAACAUUUAGUGUAUUUAUAGUUUACCAAAUCUCACCAUCACUAUUUUUUAGAUCCAAAUUCAAGAAUUGAGCUUAGUAGCAUGAAUCUAAAUGAUUAAUUGUCCUUUUUUUUUUCUUUUUCUUUUUUAACGAUGAGAUUAGCAUGUUAAAACCCACAAAAAUCCCUUAAUUCAUAAUUAAGGGAAGAUUAAUUAUAUUUGGCAUGCAUGUAUGAAUCAAUAAUAGUAAAUAAAAGAAAAAACAAGCCGUAGCUUGUGGAACAAUAAAAAGUUGAAAUUAAAAUGAAAAAGAAAGAGAAAAAAAGAAGGUAAUUUUAGAAGUAGUUUGGAGGAAUUAUUGGAUUGAAAGAAGGGAGAAUAUGAAGCCGUUACUCAUUCUCCAACAUAUAAUAUAAAUAUAUUUCAUCAUCCUUCAUCUACAUUACCUAACAAAAUUCCCUCUUUGGAAAACAACCCUAACCCUACAAUUCAUUAUAUCAUUUUGUAUUUAUUUUGUGGUUUAUAUUUUAUAAUAAGCUUUUUCAUACGUCAUAUUCUUUCCCCUCUUUACUUGUUCCUUAGUGUACAUUUUGCCAUCUCACAUGCAUAUUGCAUAUACCAUAUAUUCUUCUUCUUCUUCUUAGCAUGCUUUGCUGGAUCUUUCUCCUCAAAUUAGGGAUUUUUGUGUGUUUCUGUGCCUACAAUUAUUAAAUUACAUCAUUUUCAUAACUAAUCCUCUCCUCAUCCAUUAAAUCAUAUCCUCAUUUUAAUUAUGUUUCCAUCUCUUCCCCCCCGUUUUUUCUUUUUUCUAUUUAUUUACUCUUCAAUCAACCUUUCUUAUACUUACUUUUACUUCCAAUCUAAACAUGACUCAACCCUAAUUAAACACAUGUCUUAAUAUAUCCAAAUAUAUAUUGCUUAAUAAGGACGAGAAGAAACACUAAUUAGCAUUUCAAACCAAAGAACCAUCCACAAUUUUUAAUUAUAAAUAAAAUCGAGCUCUUCAACACUUAUAUGAGUAUUAAAAUUGAAUGCUCAAACGUACCAUAGUUGUAGAGAUUGGACCCAAAAAUCAUAAAUUAAUUAAUCUCUUAUACCGGUUUAUACGCAAUCUUUAUAAUUUCUACACAAUUUAAGAAUCUAAUUUUAAUCCAUCUACAAGUUUGGAGGCUUAUUUUUCAUAAUUAAAAGUUUGAAAAUAUCAUUAUAAUAACCUUAACUGGGUAGUUUUUUAAAAGACGUUAAUAAUAAUUAAGACAUUAUAAGUUUGAUUUUUUUUUUUUAAUUCGACCUAUGCGAUUAAAAUAUGUUUGGGCUAAAUAACUUUGAACUUUCCAAAGAAAAAAUAUUGGAAUAGAGAGGGUUGUAAUUCUUUUCUACCUAUAUGUACAUAUAUGUAUAUCUUUUUAAGUAUAUGCGCUAUGGCUUUUUAUAUAAUUUUUGUGAGGGUAUGAUUACAAAAACCAUGAUUUUUCUAUUGACGCUUGUCCAAUCAUUAUUAUCUACCAAUAAUUAUUUUCCUUUACAUAUUAUUAUAGUUUUUAAAUUAUUGUACACUUUGUGAUGUGCAUAGUUUUGUCCACAUUUAAAAAAUUAUUGACAUUCUCUUAUUUUGUGAUGUGUUAAAUCCUUGAAGGAUGGAGUUCAUCAUGCAAUACAAUCCUAUUAUACAUGAUCAUUAGCAUAGGCCCCAUUUUUGUUGUAUAUUUUUUGGUUGGUCCACAAUCUCACACAUUUGGUACAAUGAUAUAUGUGUCAAGGUGUCUUGUGAUUGGAAUUAAUAGAAUUUUAAUAGAUGUAUGAUGAAAGAGUAUUUAAUUGAUUCAAAUGCUUUUCCCAUCUUAAUAAAAUAGUCUUUUCUUAUCCAAGUUGACUGUCCAUAAAUUUUUUGUAGUUUAAGACAAAAUGGUUAAAGUAUAUGCGUCAAGAGUAUGAAAUUUGUCUAUGGAUAGGGCCAAAAAGUAACUAUAUCUAAACCUCUCAAUUACCUCUCAAUUAGAGUAUCAAUCACCUUAGUAUUCAAUUUGGAAAAACAUAAAUUUUUAGUACAUUUUUUCUUUGGUUAUGAAAUUAAAACAAGUUACAUUACUUAAACUUAAACUUACGUAUGAAUGUUAGACAUUAUAAUUAAAUUUAUCUUCACCUACGAGAUUAGGGCAGGUUGGCUUAGGUAGUCCUUUAUAUACAUAUUACAAUUUACUCAUUAUUUUAAUUGGUAUUUGCUUUAAAAUGGUGGAACUGUUUAGUGCAUACUUCAUAAUAAAUGGAUAUCUUUUAUAAUAUAUACGUACAAUAUUCAUACUUAUCUCUCGAAAAUUUCAACGUACGUAUACGCUACUUUAUUUGCUACGUAGUAGAUUAAAAUAUUUGAACACUCUGUUUUAUUAAAACUAUCACAUCAUCUCCUAACUUAUGUUAAGGUAUUUGUUUUUGGAGUGUAAUAGCAAUGUUACUUUAAAGAUCAUAUAAUUAGUAUAUUAUUGGCUCAUCUAAGUAUCUACCAAACUACAAGACUAGAAAUUCAAAAGAUUGUUAAUUUUACUUUUAGUUUAUAAAGAACCUAAUCCCAUAUUAUUAAAAUAUAGGACCCUUUUUCUUCUUAUUCUUUUCUUGAAAUAUUCAGUCAAACUACAAACAUUCACAACUCAUUUUAAUAUGAGAGAGAGAAAGAAUCAAUAAUUGUUAAACACAUUCUAAAUAUAUAUAUAUAUAUAUAUAUAUAUUUCAAAAAAAAAUCUAACCUCUCGAAUAUAUAUAUAUAUAUAUUUAUUUAUUUAUUUAGUACAUCAAAAAAUACAUGUUUAACAUGUUAAUUAAUUGAUCUAAACUUCAAUUGGUGUUGUUGUUAUGAAAAAAUUAGGAACGUAAGGGGUUUUCAUAAUAACCAUUGAAUGUAAAAUUUAAUUAAUGUCAGCCACCCCCAUUGCGUAGUUUAUGUGAUUAGCACUAAUUAAAACUUGAAAACCUUGAAAUCAUUAUGUUACGUAGUAUUCAAGUAAACUCAUUUAAAAUUUAGGGUUUGUAAUACAAAAUUUACCGAAAUAUUAAUAACUGUAAAUGGAAAAGGGUUGUUUUGGAUGGUUUCCUUAUAAAACUUUUUUGACCUUUUGUACAUAUUUUAGAUGUGUCAAUUACUUUUUUUUUUUUUUGUUUUAAAUAAUAAUAUUAACUUUAUACUCAUCAUCCCUUGUUCAAGUUUUCUUGCAACUUGAGAUUUUCCUUGAAAACUUUACCAUUAUAUAACUAACUCCCUAUGCAUAAGCAUGGUCUGCCCAAAAGCUUAUAUCAACUUAUAGAAAUUAUUUUCUUUUUCUUUUUUUAAAAAAAGCUUUUGUCAUAUCCCUACCUCAACUAUAUAUAUGAAUACAACCAAAUCCUUAUUCCUUAUUACACAACCAUUUCUUUUCCCAAACUAAGAAAAAUUAGAACCCUUUCCUCUUAGUUCUUUUUUUUUUUUCAUUUCCCAUCAACAUUUUAUUCAUACCCCAAAAGUUUGAAUACCCAGAACUUAAUUUGCAUUAUUAUUAUUAUUAUUAUUUCUUAUUGAGGUAGAAAUAAUAAUAAUAAUAUAUAUAACUGUAAAUAUUAAUGGGGCUUAAAGAUAUUGGAGCCUCACUUCCACCAGGGUUUCGAUUUUAUCCAAGUGAUGAAGAAUUGGUUUGUCAUUAUCUUUACAAAAAGAUUAUGAAUGAACAAGUUCUUAAGGGUACUCUUGUGGAGAUCGAUUUGCAUACAUGUGAGCCAUGGCAGCUUCCUGGUACGUUUUUAUAUUUAUAUUUCUUGCUUUUUUUUUUUUAUAAUGUAAUGUUCAAAAACUUUACCUUUAUAUAAGUUAUUGAUUCAAAAUAAUAUGAAUAUAUUAUUCUUGGGAUCAUCUUACUUUUGAAGAGAAGACAUGAAAAGAAAGUGAUGACUUUAGAGUGGUUUUUUUUUUUUUUUUUUUUUUUUUGGGUUAUUUGUUCAAUAAUUACUUUUUAUAAUCCACUUUUGAUAUUUGUUUUAAUAUAUAUUUUUUUUAUAAUAAUAAUGAGUUUCUACAAGUUCUUCAUGCACACAUAUCUUAAUUAGCUAUUAAUAAUGUAGGUUUGAUUAAUGUUUAUUAAAAAGCUGAACUUUUUGCAUGGUUGGUGAGAACUUGUACUUACAAGAAGAAGAAGAAGAAGAAGAAGAAGAAAAAGUUGAAAAAAGAAAAGAAAGAAGAAAAGGCUUUUGAUUCUUUUGUGUAAAAUUUACAAAUUAAAACAGAAAAUAUAUGAGAGUUCUGCCUUACAAAGUGGUUUUUAUAUAUUAUUGAGCAAAAAUCGAUCUAAUUUUUUGUGUUUUAAUUGGUAUUACCUCGUCUGUUUGGUGUUUCUUGUUCGUCUGUUUUUUGUAAUUUAAUUUUGUGAUAAAUUGGCUAAACCUUGAUGUUAAGUGUUUUAAUUAAGGCAGAGGAGGAUCGAGUUUGGGUUUGCUCUCUUUAAUUAUCUCUCUUCCACAUUAAAUAUUCUAAGGAUCUUUAAUUUCUUUCUCCCUCUCCCUCUCCCUCUCUCUCUCUCUCUCUCUCUCUCUCUGUGGUCUCAUACAAACAUGCAUACAUUCAUGUGAAAACCUUGUCUUUCACCAUUUCUUUUUAAAAGAUCGAAUUCUACAUUAAUUAAAAAAUGUCAAUGUAAUUAAAUAAUUAGAUACAAAGAAAGAGAAAAUAAGGGAUCAAAAUUGAGAAUUUUUUUGUAUCAAAAUACAAGGAAAUAUAAUAUAUAAGCUUGGGUGAGUACUAAUUGAGGUAGCUUCAACUUAUAGAACAAGUCUCAUUAAUUAUUGUUACUCUCUCCAAAGCUGAGAAAUAUAUUCUCCAAAAUCUCAAUCAUUUCAGCUUUCGAUACUUCUAUCAUUCUUCUUUGACUUCAUUUCUUUAAUUAAUUACUUUUCUUUCUUCUACUUCUCUGCACCAAUUAUAUAUAUCAAAUCUUUCUUUCAUGCAAAGUAUCUAUAUCUAUUAUAUUUUUAAUUUUCUUUCAAUCAUAUCAAUUAUAUAAUUUCUAGUAUUUGGAUUCAUACAUUUCUCUUUCUCAUCCAAUCCGAUCUAAUUUUGUUGUUUAUGAUCACCAACUAAUGUAAAUCAUUACAUUGCUAAUCAUAAACAAAAAUACAUUUGAGUCUUUCUUUAAAACACAAUGAUAAUUAUUGUAAUUUAAUAUGAAAAAAUGACUUUUUUUUAAUUAAUUAUUUGAUUUAAUUAGCAGCGAAACAUACUAACAAUCAAUAAUAUCAAAUCAUAGGUGUCAUUUUCUUAUUCUCUUUCCCCUUCCCCCUCCUUAGUUUCCUUUCUCUUCCAUAAAUUAUUCACAACUUAAAUGGAAUGAGUUCAAUCAUAUAUGGCUAAUGAAAACGAAAGAUUAAUUUAACUAAUCAAUUUCUUCUCUUUGAAAUUUAAGAGGUGGCGAAGUUGAACAGCAAUGAGUGGUAUUUCUUCAGUUUCAGAGAUCGAAAAUACGCGACAGGCUUUCGGACCAAUCGUGCAACGACAUGUGGAUAUUGGAAAGCGACAGGAAAGGAUCGGACGGUGGUGGAUCCAUCGACAGGGGAUAUCGUAGGAAUGAGAAAAACUUUGGUGUUUUAUAAAAAUAGAGCUCCAAAUGGAAUCAAAACGGGAUGGAUUAUGCAUGAAUUUCGCCUCGAGGCCCCUCAUAGGCCCCCAAAGGUUGAAUUUUUCAUAUUUUUCUUUUAAAUUUUAAUUAUCCAUUGUUUAGGCCAUUUAGACACAAAUCCUAUGGUGUGAGCACAUACACACAAUAAAAUAAAAUAUGGUUAUUUUUUUAGUCCUUCAAUUUGAAAAUAUUUAUAUUCAUGUGCCCUUAAAGGAUAACAACACAAAAGUUGGUGUCUUUUUCCACUUUGGUCAUAUUCACUUACAUAGAGAAUAGAAGAGAGAUCUCAAUUUGAUGAACCUUUAUUGGUUUAUAAAUAGUUGCAUUAGUAGAGAAUAUAUAAUAAUAUAAAUAUAUAUUUUUAAAAUUUUUGUUCUUAUUUAAAAUUAGAAGAUACUAUUAUUAUAACGUGCUUUGUUUUGUUUUUGUAAAAGAGAAACUUAGAAUCAAAAUAACUAUGAAUGUUAUUAUUUAAAGUAAUGAUACAAAUAAAAAGUAAAGAUAAUUUGGAAUUAUCUCUCUUUUUAUUUUUUUCAGUUAUAAUUGGUUUUAUUCAAUACAUUUUCUGCUUUUGUGUUACAUCCAUUCACACAUAAAAAUUUAAUUUCUUAGUCUUUAUUUCUUAAUAUUGUCAUUUUCUUUUCCUUCCAAGUUUGAAACUUUUCCUUUUCAUUUUAAUGUCAGUGAGUUUAAUUUUGUGUAUUCCAUUAUAAAGCAGUUACACUCCAAAUAUAAUCACUACUUGAACCAUACUUUUUUAAUAAAGAAAAAGAAAAGAAAAUUAAUUAUCAUCUCUCUUUUUAAGAAUUCCAUUCAAGUAUAACUUUUCAAUUUUGUACUUAAAGCUCUUUUUAACUUUUUUUCUUUUUUCUUUUUUAACAAUAUGAACAGUCAGAUUUUUACAUGUUCUUCACUUCAUUAUAUAGCUUUUAUGCAUUGAUUUAACAAGAAAAUGAAUAAACUUUAUGUGGGUACAGGAGGAUUGGGUUUUGUGUAGAGUGUUUCAGAAGGGGAAGCAAGAAGAGUACAACACCAAACUGAUCAAUCAACAUUUUACGUUUGGAAACUUCGAGCGUGUUCCAUCCGUCAUCAUCCGAGCUCCAUCUCCCCUUCCAAGUGACCCGAGCCAGACCACAACGAUGCCUUGUGGCUACAAUGUUGAUAUUGAUAUCACAUCAUUAUCGCCCUCAAUGGCUCCCCAUAGCCACACAGGCAGUUGUUCUUUUCUCCAUCUCCUUCAACUUCCUCGAGACAAAGAUGACAACAACAAUAAUAAUAAUCCCAAAACUGAUCAAAUUUUCUGCCCCAAAAAUAAUGAAUCUGAUUAUGGGGCUUUGUGGGACAUGGAUUUAGAAGAACAUACAUUUCAAGAUGGCGUGGGAUCGAACUUGGAUCAAAUGGCAUUCGACGACGUUGAUAGCAGCUUGGUUUUUCUCUAAAAGUUUGUGUGUACUAUGCUAAGGCAGAUGACUGUAUCUGCUACAUUGCACAUUUCAAUAUAGGUUUGUUUGUUGAUGUAUAGUUUAUAUACUUGUAUGAUGUAUUUGCAUUUAGGAGAGUUAUUGGGAUAUUUUGUUGUGUGUUUUCAACAACACACUUAGAUUUCAUUUUUUUCUUCUUUUUCUUCUUUUUCUUCUUUGGUCUUGUAUAGAAAAUUAGUCAAAUCUGUAAUAAAUAUAUUUUAGUUUAAGUGCAUAUUGUUUGUGGAUGUAAUAAAUUUGUGGUUUUUGAUACCACAAAUAUAGAAAUGUUGCAUUUUGUGCAUGUGAUUAUAAACAGGGUCUGUGUGCCCCCUAAAGCUUAAGGAGAUUCAUUUGAAUCAUAAUAAUUCAAGGGGGAAAAAUAGAGGAAGGAGAAAUAAUGUUAAAAGUUCCUAAGAUCACUUGCUUGAUCUAGAGUAAGAAAGAACUAUUCCUUCCUUGAAUCCCCCAAAAGUCUCUUAGACUUAGCCAAAAAUUCUUGUUUUAGAAUCAUUUAUUAUUUGAUGUUUCCGUAAUGAGAUGACAUGGCAUAAUACAACCAUAGUUUCAAUUCAUUUAUAAUCAGGACCAAUCAAGAUCGUAAGUAUCUACCUUUUUCCUUU
rnacentral:lncRNA from 1 species